UACGUAGGGACCGAGCGUUGUCCGGAUUCAUUGGGCGUAAAGAGCUCGUAGGCGGCCACUCAAGUCGAAUGUGAAACCUCGAGGCUUAACCUCGAGCCUGCAUUCGAUACUGGGCGGCUAGAGUCUGGUAGGGGGAUCUGGAAUUCCUGGUGUAGCGGUGGAAUGCGCAGAUAUCGGGAGGAACACCAGUAGCGAAGGCGGCACUCUGGGCCGGUACUGACGCUGAGGAGCGAAAGCGUGGGGAGCAAACAGG
rnacentral:rRNA from 1 species